GCUCAUUGUGGCCGAAAAUCACCAAGAGAAAAAGGAGAGAAAGUUCUUGGUUCAUAAAUCUUCAAAGCUUGAUUUCUUCUGAACUAAAACUCAAAUCAAAACUCCGAUUUCACCAAAAUGAUCCUCUCUUCUUCCUCUACAUAACCAUGUGACUUAUCAAGGCUGGAAAUAAGGAAUCAUGCUUAACUUGACUUGAGGGCCAAGAAACGUGACUUUCCAGAAAGUAUAAGGAAGAAAAAGUGCUUAAGGACCACCUGAAAGAGUAACCGGAUUUGAGGCAGCAAAUCAAGAUGGAAGUAAGAGUACCUUACCGUAGUUCGCUGAUGACCGUUCGCAAGAAGAGGAUUCUGCUCUAGAUAGUUUUCUGAGUCUAUGGUGAAUAUCGUUCUCUGUUUAUAUGUAUAUACUGUGAAACCAGCCAACGUCUACACCCCGUUCGUAUGCACACUUUAACCUAAAUCCUGUGUACGAGACUCCCGUUGUGUGGCUACUUGAUGAGAUACCAGAGGGACGCCCUAUGACAAUGUCUGAUCGUGCAGAGGAAUAGCAGAUGAUGUCCUACCUUUGGUGACGUUCACCUGACUUGAGUUUAGAAUACCUAGAACGUAUUUUUCCUCGCUUUGGUAGGUUAGAGGGACUAGAUGAGUAUAGAGUCUAGGCUAGCCUGGGCGCCAGCUUAGGGACUUCUUGAACAGGUCAGGGCCUAGGAUGUUGUAUGUAUAUAUAUGUAUAUAGUUAUUAUUUAGCUAUAUCUAGGGGUGUUUUAACUAACGGUCUAUGUUCUAAUAA